rnacentral:rRNA from 1 species
UGGGGAAUCUUGCGCAAUGGGCGAAAGCCUGACGCAGCGACGCCGCGUGUGGGAUGAAGGCCUUCGGGUCGUAAACCACUGUCGCGAGGGACGAAUACAUUGACGGUACCUCGAAAGGAAGCACCGGCUAACUCUGUGCCAGCAGCCGCGGUAAUACAGAGGGUGCGAGCGUUGUCCGGAAUCACUGGGCGUAAAGGGCGCGUAGGUGGCUCUAUAAGUCGGGGGUGAAAUGCUGCGGCUCAACCGCAGCGCUGCCUCCGAGACUGUAAGGCUUGAGCACGGUAGAGGCCGAUGGAAUUCCCGGUGUAGCGGUGGAAUGCGUAGAGAUCGGGAAGAACACCGAUGGCGAAGGCAGUCGGCUGGGCCGUUGCUGACACUGAGGCGCGACAGCGUGGGGAGCAAACAGGAUUAGAUACCCGCGUAGUCC